UGAUUUGGGUCCCUCCUGGUUUGCCUU
rnacentral:piRNA from 1 species